GACAAUGAAUUUGCAGGAGAAAAGACAACUGGAACAUAUCAUAUAUCCCGACAUUCUGGGCGAAGUAAGACCAGAUUCCUUCAGCAACUUUGGCGAAACGCAGUGAAAUACUUAGCUGAAUCUGGUGCACAUUCCAUCUAUGGGUGAGGUGCUAAGGAAUUUGGAGAAUACACUUCAUCUCCAAGAGCCCGUCAUUCAAGAAAACAGUACCAUCCCUAUUGGCGAGCUAUCACCUAUCAUCAAAACUUCUGGAGUUCGCGAAAGUCUCUGCGAGAUCUUUCUUUUUUGUUAUGAUAACCGAGAAAUCUGCCUGUGACCCGCU
rnacentral:misc_RNA from 1 species